rnacentral:tRNA from 1 species
GCGCCUGUAGCUCAGUGGAUAGAGCACCCGCCUCCUAAGCGGGUUGUCGAAGGUUCGAAUCCUUUCAGGCGCA